UGAAACUGAGGGUCUUGAGGGCAGGAGAGGGCAGUGGAAUUCCUGGUGUAGCGGUGAAAUGCGUAGAAAUCAGGAGGAACACCAGUGGCGAAGGCGACUUCCUGGACUGCCCCUGACGCUG
rnacentral:rRNA from 1 species